GUCCGAAGUAAUCUAUCCCUGUGUAGGAGAACGGUCUGGCGUACGGCGACACUCGAGCUAACGGCAACUCAUUCAUCACUGGAGGUUUAGGUGGUACUCCGUUACAAUCAGAUCGGUGAGCCAGGAUUUUUUGGGAAGAAUAAUUGGCCUCUUCAUGUCAUGGCUUGCGUAACGACAAGCAUCGAUUCUUCCUCGUACUCAUCCCUUUGUACCUGAUUUGUCAUGCAGAAGUAGCUGAUAUUCUUCUGGAAACUCUAAUCGUUGCGCUUCCUUGAUGAUCGAUUGCUCAGCUUGUUGUAGCUCGAGAUGCGAAAGGGGUCCAAAAUAUCGAGACAUUUUUGGCAGACGAGAAUUAUUGAUGUACCUCCACAUGUAGGCGAUGGCUCGAUGCAGGCGUUUCCAAUCAGAAAAUCUGUCAAAGAUAAUUACUGGGGAUAAUUCACGAUGAUAUGAAACCGUCUGGCGUAACUCUUCCUCAGUAGUUGAAGGUCUGAAGCUUUGCACUUGCCACUCGUUUUCCGGUUGCUGUAGGAACGCUGGUCCUUUAAACCACAUUCCGGUCGUGCAGUGUCGGUUAAGGUUGGACCAUUUUGUACCUUCGUCGGCUACGUUGUUUUUAGUCGGCACCCACUGCCAUUCCUUUACUGACGAGUUUUCUAAUAUUUCGCCUACUCGAUGAGCUACGUAGACGCUAUAAUUUCGAUGAUCCGAGUUGAGCCAACACAAAACGUCUUUUGAAUCGGUCCACAAGAAGCGUCUAUGGAUCUUUAUCCGGUGUGAUUGAUGAAUACCUGUCAUCAGUCUAACUCCCAAUACUGCAGCUUGCAGCUCUAAUCGGGGAAUCGAUGUAUAUUUUAACGGAGCUACUCGAGUUUUUGCGCCGAUCAACACAACUUCCCGUUGAUCUUCGGAUUCGAAUCGGAAGUACGCCACGGCUGCGAAACCGUCUCUCCCGGCGUCUACAAAAAUAUGAAGCUGUGUCGUGCAGUUCUCUAAGCUGAUGGACGUGCGGUAACAUCGCGGAAUCUUGAUAGAUUGCAGAUGGGGUAUGCAAGUUAACCACUCCUUCCAUUUGUCUUGCAGAGAACUGGGUAUUUGAUCGUCCCACCCAAUUCCAGAACGCCAAACUUCUUGCAAUAAGACUUUGAGGAACAGUAAAAAGCCUGCUAUCAAGCCUAACGGAUCGUAGAUUGUCAUAAGCGUGCUCAGUACUUGCCGUUUGGUUGGUAUCACGAUCCCUUGUAGAACAUCUACAUCCUUUAACGGCACUUUGAAUUGGAACGUAUCUUCGUUUGCGUUCCAAUACAUUCCCAAGACCUUCUGGGUACAAGCUGUUGGAUCGAGGUUCAUAUCCUUCUCCCGGCUGUUGCUACUACCAACGCCAUCUAAUACUUGGCCAUAAUUCGACAUCCAAUUGUGAAGCUUGAAUCCUCCUUGUGAGUGAAUAAAUUUCACAUCUUGUGCUAGCUUCGUGGCCUCGGUCACACUCUCUAUACUGGCAAGCAUAUCGUCGACGUAGUGAUGACGCUUAAUACAUUCGACGGCUAGAGGAUAGCGGGCCGCGAAACGGUCCGCGUUUACAUUCUUUACAAAUUGGGCGGAAGUUGGUGAACAGGCUGACCCAAAGGUCAUCCUCAGCAUCACAUAUUCAUCGGGCUCAACUUGCGACCGGUCCGUUCGCCAUAGGAAUCUUUGGCUAAUCAGAUCCUCUUCUUUAAUCAUAACCUGAUGGUACA